CUCACUUUGCCACAAUUUUUUAAUGCUUUCUAAACAUGAAAUUUUCAUUUCUGUAAACAGUUUGAUCUUUUAUCCACAUCUUUCUAAAUGUUGUUUGCUGCAGAAACCCCAUAUUAGGGAAUGGGUUAGAAAUCAUGUUAUGCUGUUUUUUGAACAGGUCAGAAUAAUGAGCUGCAGGAGAGGUCUCCAAGUGAUGAUUCCCAGCAAGGGUACCAGUCGCCAAAUGCUGUAACAUCCAAUACUGACAGACAGCUCAAUGGGCAGAAUGAUGAGCAGCAGGAGAGGUCUCCCCCAGUGAUGAUGGUCAGCAAGGGUACCAGUCGCCAAAUGCUAUUACAUCCAAUACAGACACACAGCUCAAUAGUAAGAACUGGCGGAGAUAAAAUUGGCCUGUUAUUUAGGAAGUGUUUAUCUUGUUAAUCAAUAGGUAUUAAGUUGAAAUCGGAAUGCCUUUGUUUAUCUUUUAGACUGUAGCACAUAAUCUGCAGGUAUUUAAUGAACUGUUGCCUUUUAACGAUAAUUGGCUAUAUUUUGUGCAAGUCCUCUGAAUGUAAGGUCCUCACAAAGAUUGUGAUAUUUUUCGAAGAGUAUAUUGUAUUCCAAUACUAGAUACUAACAUGUCUUUGCUUGUUUUGUCGGGUUUUUCACAUCACUUCGACAGUAUUUCUGUCAUUUUGCGACGCCCGGCUUAUAACAAGUGGAGGAAGAUCCAAGAAACCCACCUGAGUUACACAGACAGACAACUUGGUAGAACCACUGACCUACCGCAAGCCAGCCGGUGGCUUCCUCACAUAAGGAUAUUCACUCCUUUUGGGAUUCACACCCACAGCAGUGAGGGGCUAGAGAUUAUGAGUCAGCGACUCUAACCUUGCUACCACAGAGGCCCUGCUAACAUGUUUUUAGGUCUCCUGCAGCAGACAACAGUUGAAAAUAUUUUGUCAAAGGGGGAGUAGCAGUAGCAAUUUCUCACUUUGCCACAAUUUUUUAAUGCUUUCUAAACAUGAAAUUUUCAUUUCUGUAAACAGUUUGAUCUUUUAUCCACAUCUUUCUAAAUGUUGUUUGCUGCAGAAACCCCAUAUUAGGGAAUGGGUUAGAAAUCAUGUUAUGCUGUUUUUUGAACAGGUCAGAAUAAUGAGCUGCAGGAGAGGUCUCCAAGUGAUGAUUCCCAGCAAGGGUACCAGUCGCCAAAUGCUGUAACAUCCAAUACUGACAGACAGCUCAAUGGGCAGAAUGAUGAGCAGCAGGAGAGGUCUCCCCCAGUGAUGAUGGUCAGCAAGGGUACCAGUCGCCAAAUGCUAUUACAUCCAAUACAGACACACAGCUCAAUAGUAAGAACUGGCGGAGAUAAAAUUGGCCUGUUAUUUAGGAAGUGUUUAUCUUGUUAAUCAAUAGGUAUUAAGUUGAAAUCGGAAUGCCUUUGUUUAUCUUUUAGACUGUAGCACAUAAUCUGCAGGUAUUUAAUGAACUGUUGCCUUUUAACGAUAAUUGGCUAUAUUUUGUGCAAGUCCUCUGAAUGUAAGGUCCUCACAAAGAUUGUGAUAUUUUUCGAAGAGUAUAUUGUAUUCCAAUACUAGAUACUAACAUGUCUUUGCUUGUUUUGUCGGGUUUUUCACAUCACUUCGACAGUAUUUCUGUCAUUUUGCGACGCCCGGCUUAUAACAAGUGGAGGAAGAUCCAAGAAACCCACCUGAGUUACACAGACAGACAACUUGGUAGAACCACUGACCUACCGCAAGCCAGCCGGUGGCUUCCUCACAUAAGGAUAUUCACUCCUUUUGGGAUUCACACCCACAGCAGUGAGGGGCUAGAGAUUAUGAGUCAGCGACUCUAACCUUGCUACCACAG